rnacentral:rRNA from 1 species
AGUGAACGCUGGCGGUAGGCCUAACACAUGCAAGUCGAACGGCAGCACAGUAAGAGCUUGCUCUUACGGGUGGCGAGUGGCGGACGGGUGAGGAAUACAUCGGAAUCUACUUUUUCGUGGGGGAUAACGUAGGGAAACUUACGCUAAUACCGCAUACGACCUACGGGUGAAAGCAGGGGAUCUUCGGACCUUGCGCGAUUGAAUGAGCCGAUGUCGGAUUGGCUAGUUGGCGGGGUAAAGGCCCACCAAGGCGACGAUCCGUAGCUGGUCUGAGAGGAUGAUCAGCCACACUGGAGCUGAGACACGGUCCAGACUCCUACGGUAGGCAGCAGUGGGGAAUGUUGGACAAUGGGCGCAAGCCUGAUCCAGCCAUACCGCGUGGGUGAAGAAGGCCUUCGGGUUGUAAAGCCCUUUUGUUGGGAAAGAAAAGCAGCAGGUUAAUACCCCGCUGUUCUGACGGUACCCAAAGAAUAAGCACCGGCUAACUUCGUG